rnacentral:rRNA from 1 species
CCCUGCUCAAUGGUAUACUAAAUAGCCGCAGUACUUUGACUGUGCAAAGGUAGCAUAAUCAUUUGGCUUAUAAUUGAAGUCUGGCAUGAAUGGGUAACUGGAUAAUAACUAUCUUUCCAUAAUUAAUUGAAUUUACUUAUUAAGUGAAAAUUCUUAUAAAGAAACAAUAGACGAGAAGACCCUAGAAAUUUUAUAUAUAUAUAUUAAGAUAAUCUAUUUUGUUGGGGCGACAAGGUAGCAAUGAACCUACCUAAGAUUUAUAGAAAGUUGUUGAACAAUAUAAUUAAAUUACUCUAGGGAUAACAGCAUAAUACACAAGAGUUUGUGACCUCGAUGUUGGACUAGGUAAAUUAAUGUUUAGAAGAUAUUAAUUUAAGCUCUGUUCGAGCUAAUAUACCUACGUGAUCUGAGUUCAGACCGGA